rnacentral:rRNA from 1 species
CGGUAACAGGAAGAAGCUUGCUUCUUUGCUGACGAGUGGCGGACGGGUGAGUAAUGUCUGGGAAACUGCCUGAUGGAGGGGGAUAACUACUGGAAACGGUAGCUAAUACCGCAUAACGUCGCAAGACCAAAAAGGGGGACCUUCGGGCCUCUUGCCAUCGGAUGUGCCCAGAUGGGAUUAGCUAGUAGGUGGGGUAACGGCUCACCUAGGCGACGAUCCCUAGCUGGUCUGAGAGGAUGACCAGCCACACUGGAACUGAGACACGGUCCAGACUCCUACGGGAGGCAGCAGUGGGGAAUAUUGCACAAUGGGCGCAAGCCUGAUGCAGCCAUGCCGCGUGUAUGAAGAAGGCCUUCGGGUUGUAAAGUACUUUCAGCGGGGAGGAAGGGAGUAAAGUUAAUACCUUUGCUCAUUGACGUUACCCGCAGAAGAAGCACCGGCUAACUCCGUGCCAGCAGCCGCGGUAAUACGGAGGGUGCAAGCGUUAAUCGGAAUUACUGGGCGUAAAGCGCACGCAGGCGGUUUGUUAAGUCAGAUGUGAAAUCCCCGGGCUCAACCUGGGAACUGCAUCUAAUACUGGCAAGCUUGAGUCUCGUAGAGGGGGGUAGAAUUCCAGGUGUAGCGGUGAAAUGCGUAGAGAUCUGGAGGAAUACCGGUGGCGAAGGCGG